GACGAACGCUGGCGGCGUGCUUAACACAUGCCAGUCGAACGGAAGGCCCUGCUUUUGUGGGGUGCUCGAGUGGCGAACGGGUGAGUAACACGUGAGUAACCUGCCCUUGACUUUGGGAUAACUUCAGGAAACUGGGGCUAAUACCGGAUAGGAGCUCCUGCUGCAUGGUGGGGGUUGGAAAGUUUCGGCGGUUGGGGAUGGACUCGCGGCUUAUCAGCUUGUUGGUGGGGUAGUGGCUUACCAAGGCUUUGACGGGUAGCCGGCCUGAGAGGGUGACCGGCCACAUUGGGACUGAGAUACGGCCCAGACUCCUACGGGAGGCAGCAGUGGGGAAUAUUGCACAAUGGGCGGAAGCCUGAUGCAGCAACGCCGCGUGCGGGAUGACGGCCUUCGGGUUGUAAACCGCUUUCGCCUGUGACGAAGCGUGAGUGACGGUAAUGGGUAAAGAAGCACCGGCUAACUACGUG
rnacentral:rRNA from 1 species